UUGUAGGUCAAGCUACAAAGGGCGCAUGGCGAAUGCCUUGGCGCUUGAGGCCGAUGAAGGACGCGGUUACCUGCGAAAAGAUCCGGGGAGUUGGUAGCAAACGGUGAUCCGGAUAUCUCCGAAUGGGGGAACCCAGCCGACGUAAGUUGGUUACCCGCACCUGAAUACAUAGGGUGCGCGGAGGGCACCGAGGGAACUGAAACAUCUCAGUACCUCGAGGAACAGAAAUUAUUCCCUUAGUAGUGGCGAGCGAAACGGGAAGAGCCCAAACCUGAUCCACGUGAUAGGCGUCAGCCGUUGUGGAUCGGGUGUCGUGAGGCGCGACGGCGGAUCUGACGAUCCGCGACGGAGUUCAAAAACGUGAUCGUUAGCGGAAGGUUGCCUGGAACGGCCCACCGAAGAGAGUGACAGUCUCGUACGCGAAAGCGAUCACGCUCCGGUCGAUGUCCUCGAGUACCACCCGGAAGGUCUCCAGGGUGGGAAACCGGGCAGACCAUUGUCCAAGGCUAAAUACCUCAAGCGACCGAUAGUGAACUAGUACCGUGAGGGAAAGGUGAAAAGCACCCCUGGCGGGGAGUGAAAUAGAAACUGAAACCGUGCGCCUACAAGCAGUCGAAGCGUGUUGCUGCGCAAGCAGUAGCGUGACGGCGUGCCUAUUGAAGAAUGAUCCGGCGAGUUAGCUGUAUGCGGCGAGGUUAAGGACUGACGUCCGGAGCCGAAGCGAAAGCGAGUCUGAAUAGGGCGUGGACCCAAAAGGUCCGUAGUCGCAUGCACUAGACCCGAAACCGCGUGAGCUACCCAUGGCCAGGCUGAAGCGGAGGUAAUACUCCGUGGAGGGCCGAACUCUUCAACGUUGAAAAGUUGAGGGAUGAGCUGUGGGUAGAGGCGAAAUGCCAACCGAACGCGGAGAUAGCUGGUUCUCCUCGAAAUAGUUCUAGGACUAGCGUUGCGCAUUCCCUCUUUGAGGUAGAGCACUGGAUGGGCUAGGGGGCUUACCGCUUACCAAACCCAACCAAACUCCGAAUGCGAAGAGGCGAAGCGUGGCAGUCAGUCUUCGGGGGCUAAGCUCCGGAGACAAAAGGGAAACAGCCCAGACCAACAGCUAAGGUCCCUGAAUCCAGGCUAAGUGGGAAAGGAUGUUGGAUCGCUCAGACAACCAGGAUGUUGGCUUAGAAGCAGCCAUCAUUGAAAGAGUGCGUAACAGCUCACUGGUCGAGUGAUCCAGCGCCGAAAAUCCAACGGGGCUCAAGCCUGGUACCGAAGCUUUGGAUGUGUGGAUCCUUCGGGGUCCAUGCGUGGUAGAGGAGCGUUCUCAGCGCAGUGAAGGUGGACCGUGAGGACCGCUGGAGUGCUGAGAAGUGCGAAUGCCGGAACGAGUAGCGAAACGCGUGUGAGAAACAUGCGCGCCGUAUGCCUAAGGUUUCCUGAGGAAGGUUAAUCCGCUCAGGGUCAGUCGGGCCUAAGACGAGGCCGAAAGGCGUAGUCGAUGGACAGCGGGUUUAUAUUCCCGCACCGCUCAAGAUCGUUAUCAGCGAAGGGGUGACUCAGUCUGGUAGUCCGAGCGCACUUUGGCUAUGUGCGUCUAAGCCGGUAGCCGCCCUUGGAUAGGUAAAUCCGUCCGAGGAUCAAGGUGAGAGGCGAAUGCGAGUUGCAGCAAUGCAGCGAGUUGGGCAAGCCAAGCUGACGAGAAAAGCCUCUAGCGAGAUCGAGAGUGCCCGUACCGCAAUCCGACUCAGGUAGGCGGGUGGAGUACACCAAGGCGAUCGGGAGAACCCUCCUAAAGGAACUCUGCAAAAUGACCCCGUAACUUCGGGAGAAGGGGUGCCUCGCACGCUUCGCAGCAAUGUGGAGCAAGUGAUCGAGGCCUCAGAUAAACGGGCUAAGCGACUGUUUAACAAAAACACAGGUCUCUGCGAAGGGGAAACCCUACGUAUAGGGGCUGACGCCUGCCCAGUGCCGGAAGGUUAAUGGGAGAGCUGCAAGGCUUGAACUGAAGCCCCGGUGAACGGCGGCCGUAACUAUAACGGUCCUAAGGUGGAUCGCUGCCUUAGAGAAAUCCGACCAAAUGCUGGAACACCUGGCGCAUCCGCAAGUACUCGCCGAUCUCAUAAGGAUGGGCAGUGACAAUCUUCGCGGCGUUCCCGAAAGGGAGCCAGACAAUCAGCAGGAAAGGCUCAUCACUACUGGAUGGGUUACUGGAUUCGUAGACGGAGAGGGAUGCUUCUCCAUCGGGCUUACUCGUCAACCUGAUCGAGUGAACCGAAAAGGCUACCGAACCGGCUUUCAGGUCUCGCAUGAUUUCGUGGUGACGCAGGGCGCGAAGAGCGUCCAUGUGCUCUACGAGCUUCAGGAGUUCUUCGGCGUCGGACGCGUGAACGUCAAUUCACGCCACGACAACCACCGAGAACACCUCUACCGCUACAGCGUGUGUCGACGGGCGGACCUACUGAACGUGGUGAUCCCAUUCUUCAGGCGGUAUCCGUUGCGAUCGGCGAAGCAACGCGACUUCGAGAGCUUCGCGCGGUGUGUCGAGCUGAUGGUUGACCAACAGCACACGAGCAUCGCCGGCCUCAUCGAGAUCGUCGAGAUCAUGCAGACGAUGAAUCGCCAAAAACCCAGAGACGUGGAGCUGAGAAUCCUCAGAGACCAUACGUCGGACGUCCGAGACAUCGGAUAAAGAGAUGGUCCCGACUGCAUGGCGACAUGCAGGAUCGAUUUCUGCUGCAAGGACAGAAUCGUUCGCUCGGCAUGGCCGAGUAAGACCGUCCAGCGAAAUUCCUUGUCGGGUAAGUUCCGACCCGCACGAAAGGCGUAACGACUUAGCCGCUGUCUCUAGGAGGGACCCGGCGAAACUGAGAUACCCGUGAAGACGCGGGUUACGCACACUUGGACAAAAAGACCCCGUGGAGCUUUACUGCAUCUUGGCAUUGGACUGGGGUUUCGCAUGUGUAGCAUAGGUGGGAGACUGUGAAGCCGGGGCGCU
rnacentral:rRNA from 1 species